rnacentral:lncRNA from 1 species
CUCACGAUGAGUGUAGCUGUUUUCUCUUCUGAGGCUGACAGGAAGGCAGUAGCAGCAUGUUUUCAAGAGAUGCCACCAGUACUUGAAUUCUAUGAGUUGGCCAGCAACAAAGAAAGUGGCUUGAAAGAGCAAGAAGUGAGUAGUGACACCCAAGGUGGGCGAGUGGAAUAUAAAAGCAUUCUCCAGGGUUCUUAGUAAAAUUAAGGAAGCGGAAUGUGAAAGGAGGCAUGCAUGACUGCAGUCAUGCAGGAUGGAGAGCUGAAUGAUUUUUAUUUGGAAAUUAAAGAAAAGGCCAAUUCAAAAGUCCUGAAAACUUGAGGACCCUCAGCAAUCAGGAAACCCAUUGUAAAAGGACCAGAAAUGGAAAAUGUUAAAGCAUGGAGUCUGCCAUUCCCUCUGCAUGGGGAUUUAAGACACAUGGAGAGAUGCUAAAUGGAAGGCACAAAGGAAUUGAGAAGUAGAGAGGAGAUAUGAGGUUUAAGACCAGAAAGACUGACUCCAGAGCCCAGGCUCUCAACCAUCAUACCAACUGGCCUCCUUUUGUUGAAGGCUGAGGACCAUAUGGCAAGCAUGAAGACAAUAUGAUUGGCACCUUGGUUCUGUUUGAAUCGUCCUCAUAUUACAAAUCUCCACUCUGAUUUACUUUGUGUAUUAUUAAACACGCACCAUAUAUUGUUUUUUGCUGG